AUCGGUUUUAGCAAUGAUUUAGGUAUAGGUUUUAGAGUCUAUUUGUUAUUUCUAGAGUCUUUUCUAGU
rnacentral:sRNA from 1 species